UAUUGCAUCACUGCUUCUCACUUGUGUGGAAUGGAACUUUGAAAUCCGCUAGAAAACAUCGCGUGUGAUCAUCGUACUUGAAAGAAACACAUACCUACGGGCAGACGACAUGGCAGACAAUAAAAUGAUAGAUAUAUUAAAAAUCCUACAUUUAGAACAUCUGGAGAAUAAUUUUAAAAAACAUAAAAUUACAAAACAAGUAUUACAACAUCUAGAUGAAGAAUUAAUUAAGGAAUUGAUACCCUUGAUUGGAGAUAGGAGUACAUUUUUAGCGUUUUGGAAACCAAAUUAUAAGUAUGACAAAUGAAUUGGGUGAACUAUAGCUAAAAUGAUUGUUCAGACUUUUCCAAGUGAAAGAUCCGAAACGUAUUAUGUUCCUCCAGUUAGGAAAAAGGAUUCCAUACAUAAUAAAUCAAUGGCAUCGAAGGGUAAAUUGAUAUCUAUGUGGCGAAAUAGAAAAUACAAAAGCAAUCAAUUGCUUGAAAAAGUCAUCAAAGUAACCGUAAAUCAAACGGAUAUUAAGCAGACAGAACAAGAAAUGUGAGAUCAUACGAGAUCAUACGACACGUGGCAAUAAUGAAUGAUGGACU
rnacentral:lncRNA from 1 species